UACGUAGGGGGCAAGCGUUGUCCGGAAUCAUUGGGCGUAAAGAGCGUGUAGGCGGCUCGGUAAGUCCGCUGUAAAAGUCCAGGGCUCAACCCUGGAAAGCCGGUGGAAACUGUCGAGCUAGAGUCCGGAAGAGGCGAGUGGAAUUCCUGGUGUAGCGGUGAAAUGCGCAGAUAUCAGGAGGAACACCAAUGGCGAAGGCAGCUCGCUGGGACGGUACUGACGCUGAGACGCGAAAGCGUGGGUAGCAAACAGG
rnacentral:rRNA from 1 species